rnacentral:rRNA from 1 species
AAUGUGAAUUGCGUACGGCUCAUUAGAGCAGAUAUCACCUUGUUCGGAAUCCUAAUAUGGAUAACUGCGGAAAUACUGGAGCUAAUACAUGCAACUAAACCCCAACGUAAGGCGGGGUGCAAUUAUUAGAACAGACCAAACGUUUUCGGACGUUGUUUGUUGACUCUGAAUAAAGCAGUUUACUGUCAGUUUCGACUGACUCUAUCCGAAAAGGGUGUCUGCCCUUUCAACUAGAUGGUAGUUUAUUGGACUACCAUGGUUGUUACGGGUAACGGAGAAUAAGGGUUCGACUCCGGAGAGGGAGCCUUAGAAACGGCUACCACGUCCAAGGAAGGCAGCAGGCGCGAAACUUAUCCACUGUUGAGUAUGAGAUAGUGACUAAAAAUAUAAAGACUCAUCCUUUUGGAUGAGUUAUUUCAAUGAGUUGAAUACAAAUGAUUCUUCGAGUAGCAAGGAGAGGGCAAGUCUGGUGCCAGCAGCCGCGGUAAUUCCAGCUCUCCUAGUGUAUCUCGUUAUUGCUGCGGUUAAAAAGCUCGUAGUUGGAUCUAGGUUACGUGCUGCAGUUCGCAAUUUGCGUCAACUGUAGUCGUGACUUCUAAUUUGCUGGUUUGAGGUUGGGUCCGCCCUUCAACUGCCAGCAGGUUUACCUUGAAUAAAUCAGAGUGCUCAAAACAAGUGUUUGCUUGAAUAGCUCAUCAUGGAAUAAUGAAACAGGACUUCGGUUCUUUUUGUUGGUUCUAGAACUGAUUUAAUGGUUAAGAGGGACAAACCGGGGGCAUUCGUAUCAUUACGCGAGAGGUGAAAUUCGUGGACCGUAGUGAGACGCCCAACAGCGAAAGCAUUGCCCCAGAAAUUGAAAAA